rnacentral:rRNA from 1 species
AGAGUUUGAUCCUGGCUCAGGACGAACGCUGGCGGUGUGCUUCACACAUGCAAGUCGAGCGAAUGAAGUAGGUAGCUUGCUACUUAUGGAUUUAGCGGCGGACGGGUGAGUAAUAUAUAGGAAUCUGCCUUAGAGCGGGGAACAACAGACCGAAAGGUUUGCUAAUGCCCCAUAGGUAUGCAGUCUUCGGAUUGUAUAUUAAAGGAGUAAUCCACUCUAAGAUGAGCCUGUAUCCGAUUAGCUAGUUGGCGGGGUAAAGGCCCACCAAGGCUACGAUCGGUAGUUGGUCUGAGAGGAUGAUCAGCCACAAUGGGACUGAGACACGGCCCAUACUCCUACGGGAGGCAGCAGUGGAGAAUUUUACACAAUGGGGGAAACCCUGAUGUAGCGACACCGCGUGAACGAAGAAGCCUUUUGGGGUGUAAAGUUCUGUCGGCUGGAACGAAAAAAAUGACGGUACCAGCAAAGGAAGCAUCGGCUAACUACGUGCCAGCAGCCGCGGUAAGACGUAGGAUGCAAGCGUUGUCCGGAUUUAUUGGGCGUAAAGAGUUCGUAGGCGGUUAUUUAAGUCUGAUGUUAAAUACUGUGGCCCAACCACAGAACUGCAUUGGAUACUGGAUGACUUGAGUGCGGUAGAGGCAAGUGGAAUUCCCAGUGUAGCGGUGAAAUGCGUAGA